rnacentral:lncRNA from 1 species
CAUCCCGGAUCAAAAAAUAGUAAUAUCUGUCUGGUUGACAUGGUACUCUACUGGAUCGCCUUAAUGGUGCAGGUACAUUAGGCUCCAGAUAUGAUCUAAUCAAAUCCGACUCAAGUUUAGCUAUUGGUGUCGGUCCUUCUACCUGUUGAACUUCAUCAAGUUCAACCUUAGAGGCAACGGUUCCUUCACCAAGGAACUCCUUUUCUAAAAAGAUUGCCUUAAGGCUGAUGAACACCUUUUGUUCAUCAGCAUGGUAGAAA